GGGGCACAAUCACAGGAUGAAGCUCUCCCUCUUUUGCCUGGUUUCCCCAGCAGCACUCCGAGGGAGAGGAGGAGAUGAGGAGGGAGGCUGGCUCUGACCCUCACGGCUCCUAACAGCGCUCCCGAGCACAGGCCAGCUCCCCUGCGCUCUGCAGCCAGCACCGAGCACAUCCCAGCCUCGGCACCUGCUGAAACCCUCAGAAAACAACCUGUGAC